rnacentral:rRNA from 1 species
GACGGACGCUGGCGGCGUGCUUAACACAUGCAAGUCGAACGGAAAGGCCCCAGCUUGCUGGGGUACUCGAGUGGCGAACGGGUGAGUAACACGUGGGUGAUCUGCCCUGCACUCUGGGAUAAGCCUGGGAAACUGGGUCUAAUACCGGAUAGGACCGUGCUUUAGUGUGUGCGGUGGAAAGUUUUUCGGCGCAGGAUGAGCCCGCGGCCUAUCAGCUUGUUGGUGGGGUAAUGGCCUACCAAGGCGGCGACGGGUAGCCGGCCUGAGAGGGUGUACGGCCACAUUGGGACUGAGACACGGCCCAGACUCCUACGGGAGGCAGCAGUGGGGAAUAUUGCACAAUGGGCGCAAGCCUGAUGCAGCGACGCCGCGUGGGGGAUGACGGCCUUCGGGUUGUAAACCCCUUUCGGCAGGGACGAAGCUUUUGUGACGGUACCUGCAGAAGAAGCACCGGCUAACUACGUG